UACGAAGGGGGCUAGCGUUGCUCGGAAUCACUGGGCGUAAAGGGCGCGUAGGCGGCCAUUCAAGUCAGAGGUGAAAGCCCAAGGCUCAACCUUGGAAUUGCCUUUGAUACUGUUUGGCUUGAGACCGGAAGAGGUUAGUGGAACUGCGAGUGUAGAGGUGAAAUUCGUAGAUAUUCGCAAGAACACCAGUGGCGAAGGCGGCUUACUGGUCCGGAUCUGACGCUGAGGCGCGAAAGCGUGGGGAGCAAACAGG
rnacentral:rRNA from 1 species